UACGGGGGGGGCAAGCGUUGUUCGGAAUUACUGGGCGUAAAGGGCUCGUAGGCGGCCAACUAAGUCGGACGUGAAAUCCCCAGGCUCAACCUGGGAACUGCGUCCGAUACUGGAUGGCUUGAAUCCGGGAGAGGGAUGCGGAAUUCCAGGUGUAGCGGUGAAAUGCGUAGAUAUCUGGAGGAAUACCGGUGGCGAAGGCGGCAUCCUGGACCGGCAUUGACGCUGAGGAGCGAAAGCCAGGGGAGCAAACGGG
rnacentral:rRNA from 1 species